rnacentral:rRNA from 1 species
CGGCGAGUGAGCGGCAAGCUCAAUUUGAAUCUGGCACCUUCGGUGUCCGAGUUGUAAUUUGAAGAAGGUAACUUUGGAGUUGGCUCUUGUCUAUGUUCCUUGGAACAGGACGUCACAGAGGGUGAGAAUCCCGUGCGAUGAGAUGCCCAAUUCUAUGUAAAGUGCUUUCGAAGAGUCGAGUUGUUUGGGAAUGCAGCUCUAAGUGGGUGGUAAAUUCCAUCUAAAGCUAAAUAUUGGCGAGAGACCGAUAGCGAACAAGUACAGUGAUGGAAAGAUGAAAAGAACUUUGAAAAGAGAGUGAAAAAGUACGUGAAAUUGUUGAAAGGGAAGGGCUUGAGAUCAGACUUGGUAUUUUGCGAUCCUUUCCUUCUUGGUUGGGUUCCUCGCAGCUUACUGGGCCAGCAUCGGUUUGGAUGGUAGGAUAAUGACUAAGGAAUGUGGCUCUACUUCGGUGGAGUGUUAUAGCCUUGGUUGAUACUGCCUGUCUAGACCGAGGACUGCGUCUUUUGACUAGGAUGUUGGCAUAAUGAUCUUAAGCCACCCGUCUUGAAACACGGACCA